rnacentral:rRNA from 1 species
GUCGGGAAUCUUGGACAAUGGGGGCAACCCUGAUCCAGCCACGCCGCGUGGGUGAUGGAGGCCUUCGGGUCGUAAAGCCCUGUCAGAGGGGAAGAAACGGUCUGCGGUUAAUACCCGCGGGCCUUGACGGUACCCUCAAAGGAAGCAUCGGCUAACUACGUGCCAGCAGCCGCGGUAAGACGUAGGAUGCAAGCGUUGCUCGGAAUCACUGGGCGUAAAGGGCGUGUAGGCGGCUUGGUAAGCGGGAUGUGAAAGCCCCGGGCUCAACCCGGGAAGUGCAUUCCGAACUACUUUGCUUGAGUCCGAGAGAGGGUGGUGGAAUUCCAGGUGGAACGGUGAAAUGUGUAGAUAUCUGGAGGAACACCGGUGGCGAAGGCGACCACCUGGCUCGGUACUGACGCUAAAAUGCGAAAGCGUGGGGAGCAAACAGGAUUAGAAACCCGAGUAGUCC